UACGGGGGGGGCAAGCGUUGUUCGGAAUUACUGGGCGUAAAGGGUUUGUAGGUGGCUUGCUAAGUCAGACGUGAAAUCCCUCAGCUUAACUGGGGAACUGCGUCUGAUACUGGCGAGCUUGAGUACAGAAGAGAAGAGUGGAAUUCCACGUGUAGCGGUGAAAUGCGUAGAUAUCAAGAGGAACACCUGAGGUGAAGACGGGUUGCUGGGCCGACACUGACGCUGAGUGCGCGAAAGCCAGGGGAGCAAACGGG
rnacentral:rRNA from 1 species